CGUGGGUAACCUGCCCAAGAGAUCGGGAUAACACCUGGAAACAGAUGCUAAUACCGGAUAACAACAGAUGAUGCCUAUCAACUGUUUAAAAGAUGGUUCUGCUAUCACUUUUGGAUGGACCUGCGGUGCAUUAGCUAGUUGGUAGGGUAACGGCCUACCAAGGCGAUGAUGCAUAGCCGAGUUGAGAGACUGAUCGGCCACAUUGGGACUGAGACACGGCCCAAACUCCUACGGGAGGCAGCAGAC
rnacentral:rRNA from 1 species